rnacentral:rRNA from 1 species
AUUGAACGCUGGCGGCAGGCUUAACACAUGCAAGUCGAGCGGGGGAGGUUACUUCGGUAAUUGACCUAGCGGCGGACGGGUGAGUAAUACUUAGGAAUCUGCCUAUUAAUGGGGGACAACAUCUCGAAAGGGAUGCUAAUACCGCAUACGCCCUACGGGGGAAAGCAGGGGAUCACUUGUGACCUUGCGCUAAUAGAUGAGCCUAAGUCGGAUUAGCUAGUUGGUGGGGUAAAGGCCUACCAAGGCGACGAUCUGUAGCGGGUCUGAGAGGAUGAUCCGCCACACUGGGACUGAGACACGGCCCAGACUCCUACGGGAGGCAGCAGUGGGGAAUAUUGGACAAUGGGGGGGAACCCUGAUCCAGCCAUGCCGCGUGUGUGAAGAAGGCCUUAUGGUUGUAAAGCACUUUAAGCGAGGAGGAGGCUCUUUUGGUUAAUACCCAAGAUGAGUGGACGUUACUCGCAGAAUAAGCACCGGCUAACUCUGUGCCAGCCGCCGCCGUAA